UGGGGAAUAUUGCACAAUGGGCGCAAGCCUGAUGCAGCCAUGCCGCGUGUGUGAAGAAGGCUUUCGGGUUGUAAAGCACUUUCAGUUGGGAGGAAAAGUUUAAGUUUAAUACGCUUAAGCCGUGACGUUACCAACAGAAGAAGCACCGGCUAACUCCGUGCCAGCAGCCGCGGUAAUACGGAGGGUGCAAGCGUUAAUCGGAAUUACUGGGCGUAAAGCGCGCGUAGGUGGUUUGUUAAGCGAGAUGUGAAAGCCCCGGGCUCAACCUGGGAACUGCAUUUCGAACUGGCAGGCUAGAGUAUGGUAGAGGUAAGUGGAAUUUCCUGUGUAGCGGUGAAAUGCGUAGAUAU
rnacentral:rRNA from 1 species